AACGCACCUUGCGCUCCUUGGUAUUCCAACGAGCAUGCCUGUUUGAGUGUCAUCAUAAUUUCAACCUUUCCUAGGCUUUCUUUCAUAUAAAGACUCCCUUAAAAAGGCUUGGACUCGUGGAAGUUGCUGAAAUCAUUUCAGCUCUUCUCAAAUCCAUUAGCAAAAUCGCCCCUGCAUAUUCAUCAGUAUGAUAACUAUCAAUACUGCCCAAUAUUUCAGACUUUCCAUGUGAAACAAUUUUGCUUCCAAUCGUCUUCAUAGACACACAUUGAACCAUUUUGACCUCAAGUCAGGUAGGACUACCCGCUGAACUUAA
rnacentral:misc_RNA from 1 species